rnacentral:rRNA from 1 species
CCUACGGGUGGCAGCAGUGAGGAAUAUUGGUCAAUGGGCGCGAGCCUGAACCAGCCAAGCCGCGUGAAGGAUGACUGCCCUACGGGUUGUAAACUUCUUUUAUAAAGGAAUAAAGUGAGACACGUGUGCCUUUUUGUAUGUACUUUAUGAAUGAGGAUCGGCUAACUCCGUGCCAGCAGCCGCGGUAAUACGGAGGAUCCGAGCGUUAUCCGGAUUUAUUGGGUGUAAAGGGAGCGUAGAUGGGUUGUUAAGUCAGUUGUGAAAGUCUGCGGCUCAACCGUAAAAUUGCAAUUGAUACUGGCAGUCUUGAGUACAGGUGAGGUAGGCGGAAUUCGUGGUGUAGCGGUGAAAUGCGUAGAUAUCACGAAGAACUCCGAUUGCGAAGGCAGAUUACUAAACUGCCACUGACAUUGAGGCUCGAAAGUGUGGGGAGCAAACAGGAUUAGAUACCCUUGUAGUC